rnacentral:rRNA from 1 species
UACGAGUGCCCCAAGCGUUAUCCGGAAUCACUGGGCGUAAAGCGUCUGUAGGCGGUGCGGCAAGUCAAUGGUCAAAUCCGGAAGCUCAACUUCCGGACUGCCACUGAAACUGCCGCGCUAGAGGUCGGGAGAGGUAGAUGGAAUUGCCGGUGUAGGGGUAAAAUCCGUUAAUAUCGGCAAGAACACCAAAUGCGAAGGCUUUCUACUGGAACGAAUCUGACGCUGAGAGACGAAAGCGUGGGUAGCGAAUGGG